rnacentral:rRNA from 1 species
UGGGGAAUAUUGCACAAUGGGCGCAAGCCUGAUGCAGCCAUGCCGCGUGUGUGAAGAAGGCCUUCGGGUUGUAAAGCACUUUCAGCGGGGAGGAAGGCGUUAAGGUUAAUAACCUUGGCGAUUGACGUUACCCGCAGAAGAAGCACCGGCUAACUCCGUGCCAGCAGCCGCGGUAAUACGGAGGGUGCAAGCGUUAAUCGGAAUUACUGGGCGUAAAGCGCACGCAGGCGGUCUGUCAAGUCGGAUGUGAAAUCCCCGGGCUCAACCUGGGAACUGCAUUCGAAACUGGCAGGCUAGAGUCUUGUAGAGGGGGGUAGAAAUCCAGGUGUAGCGGUGAAAUGCGUAGAGGUCUGGAGGAAUACCGGUGGCGAAGGCGGCCCCCUGGACAAAGACUGACGAUCAGGUGCGAAAGCGUGGGGAGCAAACAGG